rnacentral:lncRNA from 1 species
CACUCUGUUAGACAAGUACUUGCACAUACCUCAUCUGUAUGAUUGUAGCUCAUCAGUGAAUCUGUCAUUCUGUCUGUGCCUGCUGCAGCCUCCAAACACUACAGCGAGGAUGAGCACUUUGAAGAUGAGGUCAUUGAGGAGCUGAGAAAUUGGAAGCCUAAAAGGCCUGCCAUGCUCACCAAAGUGUCCCUCCAUGAUUCUCUGGACUCAACCGUUGAGCUCCUGCCCCCUGGAGCGGACAGUGACACCAGGGAGGAACUAGGGAGCGGAGAAGUCCAUAGACGGCACUAGCAGGUGAGACCAGACUGGACAGUCAGGUCCUACUGGAUGUAGCUAUCUAAACAUGGUGAAAACAGAAAUGACUUUGGACCAUCUGUAUCAGUUUGGUGGUGGCGGAUGAUGGUGAACCUGGUGGUGUUCCUGUGU